AGUACUGUCGGUGUUUUAACCCCCCGGGAACCGGUUACCUCCGGCUGUGGACGUGAACUCGUGUUGCUUCGUUACUUCUUCGGCUUCACCUUUGUUCAUUACGGUAAUCGGUGCUCGUGUUUCUCAAAAUGGACUCGGCUGAGCCCGACAGGACGCGGCGGUGCUCGGUGUUCGAGUUCGGGGAGGGUCACAUACCGACACACACGGGACGUGACCCGUUCACGUUGGUUCUCUAAAGCUGCGAUGCAGGGCGCGGGUAAACACGGACCGCUUGUCCCGCCUGUAAACACAGGGCUCCAGCCUGUUCUUUACUUUCAGCUCCGCAGUGACUGAACCGUAACUCAACAUGAAGCAGCAGCAUUGAUUCGUGAAGACACUGUGACUAGAGGUGGAGGCACAUUUACUCAAAUACUGCACUUAGGUACUAAUUUAAGGUACUUGUACUGUGCUUGAGUAUUUUCCAUUUCCUGCUCCUUUGAUAUUUACUGCUCCUCACUCACCUGCAGCUUCAGUUACUGUAUAAAUCCAGAUUUAUACAUGUAUAUAAAUGUUGUAUGUAUACAACACAUGAAGAGCUUAUAAAACAUGAGGCUUUGUUUUAAAUUAAACUGGUUAAAAUGAAUUAUAACUGAUUUGAUGGUCGUUUGUCAUUUAUCAGACAAAUUACCAAAGAUAAUUUAAAUGUAUUUCAAUUUUAUUUUGAAGUCUUAGCCAAAAAAACGCUUUGAAGGAGCCACUCCAGGCACCAGGUUGGGUCUCAGUAUUAUUACUAAACCAUUAAUCAACAGAUUAGUCCAUGAUGGAAAUAAUCAUUAGCAGUAAAUUCCGCUCAAACAUGAACCUCAGCGAGUUACAAUAAUGUUUAUAAUGUUGAUAAUAAUGUUUAUGUAAUAUGUAGACAUUUCUGCACACUACUGACAGACUGACUGAAGUAAGAGUCACAGUAAUUAAGUAUCAGAAGUACAUGUUGAAGUAUCAGUACUGUACACUGAGUACUUCCUCCACCACUGGACACAGCAGCUGGUUCCAGAUGUUAGUUUCUGUUGAUCCGUUGUUUGACGGUGACGGACGCUAAACCGUCUCAGCGCGUCUGUGGCGCAUGCGCGGUAGGAAAGAUAUUGAUAUUGAUUCGCGGUUCAGUGUGUCUGUUGUGUGUGUGCAUCGCUCAACACUAUAUAAGCUGCAGCAACACAUAUGUUAGCUCACAGGGCCAGCUAACUGCUAAUCAGCCAGGUGACUGUCAGCUGAACCAGGCCGAGGGGCUCUCAGACAAACCCCGCCCUCGACCCGCUGUGGGCGGGACUAGGUCUGCGGGUUCCCUCGGUAACUUUUUAUGAAGCGGUGAGUGUUGACCCCGGUUUGACCCGGAGACAGAGGGAACAGCUGUGCAGUCCCGGUGUCUCCAGAGAAACAGAAAUGUUGAAUAUGACGUCAGAGCAGGUACAAAAUGAAUCACUUCCUGUUUGUAUACACACGUCACUGCUCCAGUUUAUCCGACAGAUUUACGAACAUCUGAAUAAAAUAUUUUUCACCGUUGUCGAACAUGAACACAACAAUCAGCUGAUACAUGUCACAUGUUACUGCAGACUGAGUACUUGAAGUACCUGGAUACUUGUGUACUUGUACACAGUCAACACUCUCAAUGCUUUUCCAUAUUAAACAGAUGUAACUGAGUCAUUGUCACUGUGUUAGGAAACUAACAUUUUUUAUAUAUUAUAUUUAUAUAUUCUG